rnacentral:lncRNA from 13 species
AUGUUUUAAAAUUCUUUUAUAUUUAUUAAGAGUUUUCAAAGCUUUUUUUUCCUGUAAAUUCAUCCUUAGAUCCACCGUCUACUUAUAAGACAACCUUGACCUCUGUGUACCCCAUAGAAGGACAUCAUACAUUUUUAUGUGUCCACAGAGUGCUUAUGUUCCUGUGCAGAGGCUCCUGGUCUUGAGAUAGUCGCCUGUGACUCCAAGGGGAAACUCCUUGACCUUGCUCAUCAAACAGAGAUUUGACCAUUUUCUGGCCACUGCUGAAACUGCUGGCAAUUUGGAUGACAUAUUAGUGAGAAGAGGGUCUGAUCUCUGCUCCAUCUGAGAACACACAGUUGAGACGGACUUUCACCAUGUUGUUCAGGCUGGUCUCAAGCUCCUGACCUCACGUGAUCACCUGCCUCAGCCUCCCAAAAUGCUGGGAUUACAGACGGUCUUGCUCUGUCACCUGGCUGGAAUGCAGUGGUGCGGUCUUGGUUCACCACAAACACUGGCUCCCAGUUCGAGAGAUUCUCCUGCCUCAGCCUCCCAAGUAGCUGGGAUUACAGGCAUGCAGCACCACACCCAGGUAAUUUUUGUUUGUUUGCUUGUUUUUUGAGACGGAGUUUCGCUCUUCUUACCCAGGCUGGAGUGCAAUGGCGCAAUCUCGGCUCACCACAACCUCCGCCUCCUGGGUUCAGGCAAUUCUCCUCCUCAGCCUCCUGAGUAGCUGGGAUUACAGGCACAUGCCACCACGCCCAGCUAAUUUUUUUGUAUUUUUAGUAGAGAUGGGGUUUCACCAUGUUGACCAGGAUGGUCUCGAUCUCUUGACCUCGUGAUCCACCCACCUCGGCCUCCCAAAGUGCUGGGAUUACAGGCUUGAGCUACUGUGCCCGGCCUAAUUUUUGUAUUUUUAAUAGAGAUGGAGUUUCACUGUGUUGACCAGGCUGGUCUCGAACUCUUGAUCUCAAGUGAUCUGCCUACCUCGGCCUCCCAAACAAAGUGCUGGGAUUACAGGCAUAAGCCACCGUGCCCAGCCCUAUUUAUUACAUGUCUAUAUAUUUACUUAC